UGGUUCUGGCAUCGAUGAAGAACGCAGCGAAAUGCGAUAAGUAAUGUGAAUUGCAGAAUUCAGUGAAUCAUCGAAUCUUUGAACGCACAUUGCGCCCUUUGGUAUUCCGAAGGGCAUGCCUGUUCGAGCGUCAUUUCACCACUCAAGCCUGGCUUGGUAUUGGACGUCGCGGCUUCCGCGCGUCUUAAAGUCUCCGGCUGAGCUAUUCAUCUCUAAGCGUUGUGAUACAUAUUCGCUUCUGACGACGAGUAGUUCUUCGGCCGUUAAAUCUUUCUUAAGGUUGACCUCGGAUCAGGUAGGGAUACCCGCUGA
rnacentral:misc_RNA from 1 species